GAUGAACGCUGGCGGUAUGCUUAACACAUGCAAGUCGAACGGACUCUUCGGAGUUAGUGGCGGACGGGUGAGUAACGCGUGAGAAUCUGGCUUUGGGUUCGGGACAACCACUGGAAACGGUGGCUAAUACCGGAUGUGCCGAGAGGUAAAAGAGAAAUUGCCUGAAGAUGAGCUCGCGUCUGAUUAGCUAGUUGGUGAGGUAAAGGCUCACCAAGGCAGCGAUCAGUAGCUGGUCUGAGAGGAUGACCAGCCACACUGGGACUGAGACACGGCCCAGACUCCUACGGGAGGCAGCAGUGGGGAAUUGUCCGCAAUGGGCGAAAGCCUGACGGAGAAAUACCGCGUGAGGGAAGAAGGCUCUUGGGUUGUAAACCUCUUUUCUUAGGGAAGAACAAAAUGACGGUACCUAAGGAAUCAGCAUCGGCUAACUCCGUG
rnacentral:rRNA from 1 species